rnacentral:ncRNA from 1 species
GAAAUAUCUGUGAAGGAACCAGUAAAUUACGAAAAAACGUACAGAAAAAAUUGCCUUGGCUGAAAGCAAUUUCGUGAAAAGUAAUUGAAAGACAGUCUGGAGAUGAGCGCGUGCAAAGCCGCUCCGUUACGCAAGCGUUAAUUGCUAGAGAAAAAAGAGGAAACUCUUUUUAAAAAAUAGGUGGUACCGCGACAAUUUUCGCCCUUGUU